rnacentral:lncRNA from 14 species
CCUAAUGGAUUUUUCUAGCCUGGACGCCCACUGGGGACAAGGAUCAUUACUGACAGGAUUGUAUCUCUACCCUUGACUCCAUGGGAAUAUUUGGUCUGCUCUCUCGGGCUCCCUCUAAAAUCCCUAGCUGUCCUGAAAUGAGCUCCCAAGACUAGGCUGGUUUGGAACUCACAGAACUCCAGGCUGCCUCUGAGAGCAAAGGCACGCACCAUCACAUGCACUCAGCUACAGAGGUGUCGACUUUUGAAACAGAAUGGCAAUGGUGAAGUUGGCAUAUCCUUUAAGCAUUCCAGAAGGAUUUUGAGAACCAUCCUUUCCUAAAUCAAAGCUAGAAUAUUUGGAGAUUUGGAAAAUUGAGGUCAGAUCAGAAGGACUUCUCGGAAAGCUGGACCUCAUGGCACUCACCGAUCAUUCUGAUAUCCAGAGAAGCCGAGGUGAGAAGCAUUGAUUUAAGAGAUGCCAAGUAACUCAGCGGAUGUCACACAGAUGAUAAAGAGCAAGGAUAGACCUCUUCAUUUCAUGUUUGAGGCAAUUCUCUAAGACAGCUGAUUUCUCCAGAGCUGGUAGGUAAGUAUCUACCUCCCAGAAUGCAAUGUGUCCAGAGAUUAUAAUAAGUGAAAUAUUGGAUUGCCAAUAUUCUUUUCUCUUGUCCUUCUACGCUUGGAUUCU